AAUAGAUAGCGUAACAAUAUAUUAUUCUAUAAAGUGUUUAUUCAGUCAAUUGAUACUAAUUUAAUUAUUUUUUUUUGUUCUUAAUAUCAUACAAAAUGUGAAUAGCAUAAUUUUAAUGGUUUAAAAAAAAAGAAGAAUAUCAUAAAAGAAAAAUGAUAAUAGCAAAAUACUAUUUAAUGUAUUGUUAUGUAUAUCAAUGGUGAUAUCAAUGAAGAUAUGAACAAGGUAACUUGAAAAUUCCGUCCUUCCAGAAUCUUUAAGGUUUCUCAGCGAAAAACUUUUCUAUGUGAUUUUUUAUCUCGAUCAAACAGUUGAAGAUUUUUCCAUUGAGGAAAUUUUGUAAUGAUCGAAAUAGGUGGAAAUCAGAGGGCGCGAGAUUUGAAUAUGGUGGAUGGGGUAGAACAUUCCAACCGAGCUCUAACAACUUUUAUCGAGUUAUCAAAGACAUAUGAGGCCGUGCAUUGUCCUGAUGAAACACGACAGCCUUUCAAUUCGCUAUUUCUAGACGUUUUUAUUCAAAUGCUGUCUUUAAUUUGUCUAAUUGGAAAUAAUACUUCUCUGAAUUUA